rnacentral:lncRNA from 1 species
UUUAAAGGGCCAUGCCAAAUAAUUAGGUCAAGAUAUUUUAUAUUAUGAUCUUACUGGGGCAAUACCAUGCACAUGUCCCUUGGGUGAAAGAGUUACUUUAGAGAUGUUUUUUUAGAUUUGAAAAUUUGGGAUCCACCCAAUCACAAUAUAAUUAUUUGCCUAAAAAGGAAAUUUGGAUUUUUCUUUUAUCACUUAGAUCUCACCCUUAGAUGUACUUUCAUUAUUGGGAUGGCAUUUUUCUAAGGUAUAUAUUAGAAUUUUAUUCUGUUUUUUAUUAGGUUUAUGUCUUGGUUGAUGAUGCAACAUCUCCGAAACUUGGGGUCCUCAAAAUACUUUUAGAUUAGGUUUUACUCAAAUGAACAAUACUCUUAACAGGGUUGGGGUUGUGGUGGUAGCAUCAUCUGAGCC